UGUGAGAUUGUUGAUUGUAGCACUGCCUGCAAAAAUGGGAUGCUACCAUUUCUGUUCUAUGAAAAAUGCCACUAAUUCUAAUAUUCAUCUUGGAUGCCAUUAAAGAGUCUAUCUUCAUUUGUGGUCAUGUAUGCUUGUCCUCUACUUGCAACUAUGCAUUUUGACUGAUCUCUCUCUCUCUCUCUUUAAGCUAAGCUUAUUAGUCCUGUAUGUUAUUGUUACUAUUUCUGCAAUUUACAAUGGUAGGCGCUGGAUACGUGCCACAUUCUGCAAUGUGGGGCCAUUCUGAUUCCCACCAAUUAUUGCCUUCAACUAGUAGUUGCUAGCUUGAUGGUUAAGUGGGAUAACUAUGCAUGGACCCGUUGAAAGGUGAGUCAUGCUUUUCUAAUAUAAGAAAUGAAUAGGUCGAUGGUUUAUGUAGUUAUAGCUACUACCUUGUAGCCACCAUACUUCUUCAAUGAGAAUGUGAAUCUGGGGCUUGAUACUCGGAUGAGAUUGACCUGCUGAUACAAAUUCAAAGUUUGUGUACAUUUCUUGAUCAUGGAAUUUUUAUAAGCCUUCGCUGUGGCAACUUAAAUUGUAAUUUGAUGAUAGCCAAAACUUGUAGAACCAUAUGUUCGUGAAUUUUUAAGCUCUCGGAGCUUCUUGGGGUCUGGAAGCUGCUCUGACAUAGAAGUAUUGAAGAUGAUAGGAAAUGCAAAGAUUUAUCAGUAAAUUAAGGGUAAAAACAGCAUUCUAAUGCAUGAGGCUUAUGCUAUUAUGGGGUCAGAUGUAUGCAACUUUAUUUCUGUCUAUAAAAAUGUUAUUUCUGUA